AUUUGGAGAGUUUGAUCCUGGCUCAGGACGAACGCUGGCGGCGUGCCUAAUACAUGCAAGUCGAGCGGAGCUUAUCCUUCGGGGUAAGCUUAGCGGCGGACGGGUGAGUAACACGUAGGC
rnacentral:rRNA from 1 species